UUCAUUAUUUUUGCAACAUUCUUUUUUUACAAAUAAAAAUAACUUAACCAAAUUUUGGAGAGAAAAGCCCUCUUCUUGCUUGGUUUUUGUAUUUGAAGAAUGAAUUAGUUUGUGGAUGGAUUCAAAUGAGAUUUAUUGGAUUGGAGUAGGAAUAUAGAAGCCUUCAAUGUUGUCGAAGAAUUGUACAAAUUCGUUUGGUAUGUUGGAGUUCUUUGCAUUUUCAUUUUGGAGAAAAAUGAGGGUCAACGAUUCUUCAUGUCAAGAAGAACUUCAGGGAAGUGUAAAUGCUUCAUGGUUGGGCGGUAAAGCGCCCAGGCAAUAUUCUCACCCAUGGUUUUCUCAUGGUAGAUAGAUGUCAAGAGCCCAUGUCAGGAUGUUUAUUCAAUUAUGUUUUAUGUUUACAUUGUAUUCGACCUUAUGGUCUCUUGUAACUAAAGUCAAUUUCUUAUGUUUUGUCAAUCUCUUGACUCAUGUAAAUAAACCUUGUGUCUAAUUGUAACUUCUUUUAUCUAUUCGAUGUAAUUUGAGCAAGUUAUAUUAAUUAAUGUUUGACUAUGUGUAGUUUGUGUAUUUUAUAAUGUUAAUAAUAUGGAGGUCCUUACACUUAGCAUAAAAAUAGUGUUGCUAUCUUCACCAUUUUUAUCCACAUAAUUAGAAAAAUUAGAAUAUGUUUCUAUGGUCAAACUUGUGUGUGGAAUGAGUAUCGUCAUUUUUUUAAAUACUUGAUUUUCUUAAUUAGUUGUGUUCCAACCUUAAAAGUUAUUUAUUGAAAGCUAUACUCAAUGCUAAAUAAUGGAGAUGAUGAGCCUAAAUAAUGACAUUGUUUUGAUAGAUUUUUGUCAUAGUAUUCCUGCCUAGGUCUUAUGUUUAGACGAUAUUUGGAUCAAGAUACUCUCCUAGUUAAUGCCUUUUUAGGUGUUUCUAGAACUGAUUUAUCUCAUACUUAAGGUUGUCAUAUAAUGGUUUCUAAAUGGUUUAUCUAUGUAAAAUAUCGAAAUCAAUCUUAAGUAUGGUUUAAUUUAUAUCAUGUUAACAUUAGUAUAUACACAUGCUUUUUGUGCACAUUGUUGGCAUAUGCACACUCCAAUGAGACAUUGUAGGUGAUUGAAGGUUUUGUCAUUGAUGGAAACCUUACAAUCCUAUGACACCAGCAAGGUAUUCCACCGGCACUAGCAAGAUCAGACUCUACACCGGCACUCAGAUCACUGGCACCGACAGUGAAAGGUAGCAUAUCGGCAUAGAGGUCGACAGGAUUUUUGUUGUAAUAUAUUUUGUUUAUUAUUUGUAAAAUCAUUGUAAGAUGACUUGGCAAGUUGUAAAAUGACUCUUAUAUAAGAGAGAUCAUUGUAGAACAUUUUGUGUAAGUAAGAGGAAUGUAAUUAGGCGAAAUAAGGCAGACCUAUUAUGCGAAUUAUAGGUUAAGGGUUUAUGUAAGAAGCAGAGAAGAAACCGGUACUGGAUCUGGCAUUAUAUAUGCUAUUUUGAAGCAGUACAAGACACUUGAUUUAUAUAAUCCAUUUUGUAAGUCA